GCAGAUUUUGCAGCUGUUCUCGGGCGAAGUCGAAAUCCAGGCCGCUACAGUUACCUAGGGAUUCGAGCCUUCCGUUGACCAGGCAAGGGACGUACGCAUGUAUAGCUCUGUAUCUCGUGUAUAGUACAGUUUUGCGCAGUACUGUAUUGGAGCGAAAGAUUCUAUUUGGUGGGCCCAUCCUCCUCUCCGUGUACGCCUCGCUCCCCCUCCCCCCACCCCCACACCCCUCCGAGCCCACUCCUAUCUUCCCUUUCUUCUCCACACGACUGUAGCCGCGCCGACGCCAUUACCGGAAUCAUCCAAAGUUUCAAGCGUCGCGCGUCUCCUCUGUCCAGGUAUGUAGAUCCCAGUUAAUUCGCGAGAUCUUGAAUUGUCUCCAAGAUCUACAUCGCUAUGUCGCCGUGGUCUGGAUUCAAAGGAGAUGAAGGCAAUCCAGAUUCGUCUCUGCAAAUCGAUGAUCUCGCCGGAGAUUCUGAGCUUGGAUACGAGAGCUACGCCGACCACGACGCCUUCUUGGACCUGCCUCGAUAGAUCCUUGAUCCGUGCUUCGCCGGGCCGGAUCUCAACAUUCAUCAAAGGUACCGUCAUGGAGAGGCCCCUCAGAGGAAGGUAGCGCUCGACAUGACUGCUACAGGGAGAAGAUCUCUUGGAUGCCCUCGGCAGGUUAGCAAAAUGUUGCCUUUACCAUAUAAGUAGAUGGUUACUUUUUUUAUCGCUAAUGAUGUGCGUGGAGUUCAUCAUUGCUAAUUCGUUCUUAGCUAUUAGAUAAUAGUGAACUGGAAUUUGAGAUUCCCUUCAUGGGUGAAGGACACUUGAUAUUAACUAAUAAACCUAUACCAUUAUGGGGCUGUUAGCAGUAAAAGGGAUUUUUUUGUUCGGUGUCAACAUGGACCAAUCAACAAUGGUAGUUAUCCUCCUCCUAACCUUAGGUGUCUGAAGGGGAUCAGAGGACACAAAGAUCUAUCUAACUUUAACACCAAUGCAGAUGCCACACAUCCGUACGUAAUCACGGUUGAUUCGGUGCGGUUAGGUGUUUGCGAAGCUGCUCAUGUAUACCAUUAAUUUUAAUGACCCUCCGUGAUGUAAAAAAAAAUAACACAAUAAAACAGCUUUCUUCUGAAAGUUUGCUGAAGCAUUGAUUUGUUUAGAUGAUCUAUGUUUGGUAUAUAUGUCGAUAUCCAAUACAGCAGACGCACAAGCCGAUCACCAUUUCGGAUGGAUUGCAUCAGAAUUGUUUGCUUGCUUACUAACACAAUAUGGGUCGAUGAACCUUGGAAUCCUGUUUUAACUAGGUCCUUGAUUCACUUGUGGAGUUUGGUUGGUUUACACUCCAGAGAGCACGUCAGGUGAAUCGGAGUCUCCCAUUAAUUGAUCAAGCAUACACAGCGCUUUGGACUGAGAAAAACAACCUCCAGGUCGCAUUUGAACAAAUGGAGCACAAGUUGAAGACAAGAGAGUUCAAGCUUAAAGAAAUGAUCUGGAACAACAGCGAGAAAGCCUCUCGCAGCUUGAACAUCUAUGCCAACUUGUGCAUAUCUGCCGUCAGUGUAGCUGUUACUAUGUUUGCUCUACUUGUGGUUGUGUUCCUGAAAUAGGCCGUGAGAUAUAUUGUAUCCUUUAGAUUUCGCAAACCCGCAUGCAAGCCUGCAUCCUUCCUUUACUUAUUUCCCGGUGAACAUGUUAUCAGCUUCAUAACUUAAGUGUCUGUUGGAGCUUCGGGUGUUACGCUAUUUUUCCGUCUCUGUUAAACCGAUACCUGUAAUACACUAACUCCUGCAAAAGUUUUUUUAUGCACCAUGGUUCCAUCUAUGAUCCACUGUAACCUGAAUUGACUUUUGUAAACAAUUAUGAUGUACUCAUGCUUGACGGAUGCAGUACUCUAUGCAGCUACACUCCGGUACCACAUA